AAACAGUCCAGGGGCAGGGGGACAGUGGGGCCAGGAGAGCUCUUCCUGAGGGCCUUACCACAAUGGGAAGGGGGCACAGCUAGCUCACUUGCAAAAGCAGGUGACUUUUCUCUGGCCACAGUGAAAGUCGAGGCCCGCUCAGAUGGAAAAGAGACUGGAGCAUAUUGCAUUUGAGGGAUUUGAAGACAGAAAGACUACACCUUGGAUGCCUCUUCAUGAUGUGGGGCUUUGCUCUCGGGCUAAAGUCCAAAGGGAUGGAAACUGGAGAAGUUACAAAGAACAUGAUCUUGACUGCUGAGCAUUGUGGAGCAUGAGUGUGCCAUGUGGGUUCUGGGAAGCAAAUGUGGGAAGAAAGCUGCAGGGCCUGGAACCAGGUGGCUUUGGGCUCUGCCUGUCUGGGCCUCCUGGCUGCUACGGGCACUAUGUCAGCCCCAAAUAUCCUAGUACGGGUGGCUCAUCACUCUCAAAACAGCUGCUCCCCAGCCCCUGUCCCCUGCCUCUCCAGUCCCUGGUCCCUUCUCACUGUUUGUUCAGGUUUCCAUGCUGCCUCCUUGUUCCGAGGCAUCCUCUCUCUCUCCUUCUGUCAUGCAUCCUGUCCACGGGAACCUUGCACAGAAUCCUCCCAUAUUGGGUCAGUCCCAUACUUCUUGCCAUGGAUCGGGACUCAGACAAGUCAAACAUCAAAGGGGUGAGGGCACACUUGCUGAAGAGAAUAACUUCUUACCAGGGAUGGAUGGAUAGAAAGGAGUUGCUCAAGAGAGUGACGAGGGGAUCCUUUGGCAGGAGGAUAGACUCAGACUAGGAUCUGGGUCCACAGUAAGCUCAAUAAACUCUUGCAGAUUCAUUAAUUUUUCAGGGAUCACAACCAAGCAUUAACAGAAAAGCCUGCAUUUGGGUGAAAGUCUCUUUUAUUAUAUAUCCUAUUUUGUCUAAAAUUGAACUCAUUGCCUAAUGACUGAAGAAAUAAAGUAUGUCCCAGCCCUUAGGAAUGAAAUACCAGGCCGACAGGCAGAGAACUAGAGCCGAGACUGCUUCCUUCAUGGGCACGAGGAUCUCUAAUCCCAUCCCUCCUUAGAAGGCCAACUCAUGGCGCCUUCCACCAACCUGUACAUUCUUCCUGUGAAGGCACAGUGUUUUACUCUUCUCUCUGAUUACCUCCCAUGGGCUACCCAACAUAAAAGAUUUUGAUACCUCCCUUCUUUCCUUUUCCUAAAAUAUGCAGGAAUUAUGUAUUAUUCAUUUU